rnacentral:rRNA from 1 species
CCUACGGGGCGCUGCAGUGAGGAAUAUUGGUCAAUGGACGGAAGUCUGAACCAGCCAUGCCGCGUGCAGGAAGACGGCUCUAUGAGUUGUAAACUGCUUUUGUACAAGGGUAAACCUGAAUACGUGUAUUCAGCUGAAAGUACUGUACGAAUAAGGAUCGGCUAACUCCGUGCCAGCAGCCGCGGUAAUACGGAGGAUCCAAGCGUUAUCCGGAUUUAUUGGGGUUAAAGGGUGCGUAGGCGGAUUGAUAAGUUAGAGGUGAAAUGUCCGAGCUUAACUCGGGAACUGCCUCUCAUACUGUUGAUCUAGAGCGUAGCUGCGGUAGGCGGACUGUAUGUUGUAGCGGUGAACUGCUUAGAGCUCAUCCAGAACCCCGAUUGCGACGGCAGCUUACCAAUCUAUAUCUGACGUUGCGGCACGAAAGCGUGGGGAGCAAACAGGAUUAGAUACCCCAGUAGUC